rnacentral:rRNA from 1 species
ACGGAAGGCAGCAUCUAAGAAUAUUCCGCAAUGGACGAAAGUCUGACGGAGCGACGCCGCGUGGAUGAUGAAGGCCGGAAGGUUGUAAAAUCCUUUUAUAACUGAGGAAUAAGUAAGGUGAGAGAAGCGCCUUAUGGUGACUGUAGGUUAUGAAUAAGCAACGGCUAAUUACGUGCCAGCAGCCGCGGUAACACGUAAGUUGCGAGCGUUGUUCGGAAUUAUUGGGCGUAAAGGGCAUGUAGGCGGUUUUGCAAGCUUGGUGUGAAAUCCCGGAGCUUAACUCCGGAAUUGCGUUGAGAACUGCAUAACUAGAGUCACUGAGGGGCAAUCAGAAUUCCUGGUGUAGGGGUGAAAUCUGUAGAUAUCUGGAAGAAUACCAAUGGCGAAGGCAGGUUUCAGGCAGAUAACUGACGCUGAGGUGCGAAGGUGCGGGGAGCAAACAGGAUUAGAUACCCUGGUA